CUGAAGUGAUCUGCCCACCUCGGCUUCCCAAAGUGCUGGGACUGCAGGUGUGAGCCACUGCGCCUGGCCCCUUCAGGUGGGUUUUGAGGCUUCACGUUGCUGCUGCAAUAAAUUACCACACACUUAGUGGCUUAAAACAGCACAGAGGUAUUCCCUUACAUUUCUGAAGGCCAGAAUUCUAAAAUCAGUCCCACUGAGUCAAGGUGGGAGCAGGGUCAGUGCCUUCCCAGGCUCUGCGGGAGAAUCUGUUUCCUGGCCCUGGAGGCGGCCUGUACUCCUUAGCUUGUGCUGCCCUUCUGGAAUGACUCGAGUUUCCUGCUUUCAUCACUACACCUCCCACCGCUCUCCAUCACCUGCUGUGCUCUUACGAGGAUCCAGCUGAGACAUGUUUUAGGAAGUUUGCUAAAAGACCCCUGGAGACGUCCUCAUUGUGGCCUCCCUGCUGUUGUGUUUAAUUUGGUUGAUCUUCUCUGCCCUCCUGCUUUUCAGAAUUAAAAGGCUAAAAAGAGUUUUCAGAGAAAUGGAAUAAUUGUAUUGCUGAUCUACGUAAACAAGUUGAAGAAUUGUCUGAAAGAAAAUAUGGUGUGUCUGAACUGGAAAAGUCCUGUGAUAGUUUGUUCAUGAGCAUUUACACAAUGGAGUUACUGUUCAUCAUGGGGGUACUGUGGACAAGCCCAGGGCUGCUGACAUAAUCUUAUGAAUUCAACACAUGAAGAUUUACAACUUGAUAAACCAGCUUCAGGAGAUCAGAACUUCUUACAAUACAACUGAUGUUACUCAGCCUAGAACAAAUACAACAGGGAUUGUGCUGCAUUCUGACUUAGGUUCUGCCAUCGAACACAGAAUGCCCUGAUCCUUAGAGGCAGAGGCAGCUCUUCAGCCUAUGGGAAAACUGUGGAUUUAGUUACUCCACUCUGCCAUGUCCUUCCACCACUGCCUGCACAUUUGAGACCAAGGAUAGAGAUUGGGAAAAAUCCAUAGUUCUCCUGACUCAGAGUUUGGCUCCGGCACUCUCAUUUCAGCCAUAGCUGCAGACAAAGCACACGACUGCUGGGCACUGUGGCUCAAGAGAAGGGGGAGAUGCAGGAAGAAGAUGAGCCUUAAGUCUGAACACUGAGGAAUUCAUGUGCAUCAGUCAGACCUCCUGUGCAAGGAAGGAUGUGGUUACUACGGCAACCCUGCCUGGCAGGGUUUCUGCUCCAAGUGCUGGAGGGAAGAGUACCACAAAGCCAGGCAGAAGGAGAUUCAGGAGGACUGGGAGCUGGCGGAGCGACUCCAGUGGGAGGAAGAGGCCUUUGCCAGCAGUCAGAGCAGCCAAGGGGCCCAAUCCCUCACAUUCUCCAAGUUUGAAGGAAAGAAAACCAACGAGAAGACCCACGAGGUUACCACAGUGAAGAAAUCUUCAGUGCGUCUUCCAGGGUCGGAUCAAAGAAGGCAGAAAUUCAGGAAGCAAAAGCCAGUCCUUCCAUAAACCGGCGAACCAGCAUUGAAACGGAUAGAGUGUCUAAGGAGUUCAUAGAAUUUCUCAAGACCUUCCACAAGACAGGCCAAGAAAUCUAUAAACAGACCAAGCUGUUUUUGGAAGGGAUGCAUUACAAAAGGUGCCUCCAGAAAGGGUUGAGAAGAUAAUGGAUCAGAUUGAAAAGUACAUCAUGACUCAUCUCUGUAAAUAUGCGUUCUGUCCAGAACCCCAGUGAGCCUGGAAGACUGGGUGCUAUGGGAAAUGUCAUCAAUCCAAUGCUAGUGAAAGAUGUGACUGGGGAAUGCUGAAAAAUGCGCACCCCUGGGAGGAAUGAGGAAAGAUGACAUCCACUGACUUGUUAUUUUUUUGAGAAGGAGUCUUGCUCUGUUGCCCAGGCUGGAGUGUGGUGGCACGAUCUCGGCUCACUGAUGAUGAGAAGAAAGAUCUUGCCAUUCAAAAGAGGAUCAGAGUGGAAGCUUCUCUGUGGUGUCAGAAAGACGAGGAAUGUGGUGACCUCACCUAUCCAUCUCCCUCAAGGCAGCUUUUGUUUUUCUGCAGUGACCGUACUUGCAAUAAUUAAACAUAGUUGGUCAUUUAAAAUACAUCUCUGAUACUCUCGUCAAAGGUGGAGCCCAGUCCCUAUCGCCUUGAGUGAGGGCUGGGUUACGUGAUUCCCUUCUGACAGAUAGGAAAAAGCAAAAGUGAUGGCUUGCAACUUUGCAAACUACAUCAUAAAAGGUACUGUGGCUUCCUCCUUGCUCACUCUUUGAUUACUCACUUGGGAAAGCCAGCUGUCACACCAUGACACCUAAGCAGCCUGUAGAGAGGCUCAUGUAACAGGAACUGAGGCCUCCUGUCAGCAGUCACAUGAGGGAGCCAUCUUGGAAACAGGCUUUAGGUGACUGCAGUCUCAGUGGACAGCUUGAGUGCAAUGUCAUGAGACACCCUGAGCCCAAAUGACCCAGCUAUGCCACUCCUGAAUUCCUGACCCACAGAAAUGGAGAUCCUAACUUAAGUUCUUGGACUCACUGAGGCAGUAAAAGAACCAUAUCCUGUGUUUGAAUCAAAUCCCAAGUUCCUGUACGUAGAAGGUUUGCCAGACAGGAUUCCCUUUCGAAGCCCUCCUGGUUUGGAAUUCCAUGACUUGAAAGGAUCGUCCAUGGGAGUAAUAAAAUCAAAUUUGUUGGUAAAAAACCUGAACUGGUUAUUUCCUACUUGCCUCCUGGAGUUGCUAAUAAAAUAAACACUAAAGCUUCGCAGUUUCUAAAAAGACCAUGAAGCCCUGAGAGUAAUGAAAAGGUUCCUGAAAUUGAGGUCACUGUGGAAGGAGAAUCUAAUGCCUGAUGAUCUGUCACUAUCUCCCAUCACCCCCAGAUGGGACCAUCUAGUUGCAGGAAAAGAAGGUCAAGACUCCCAGUCAUUCUACAUUAUGCCUCAGCCAAGAUGUCUCACCCCACUCUCUCUGAUGCAACAAGAAGCCCCUGGAGAACGUUUCAGUCCCAUUUUGUACUUCUGUCAUGUGCUCAUCACAGUCUGGUGGAAUUUAAAUGACCUCUUAUCAAGAUGGAUAAACCCAAGUUUCCCAGUGCUGGAAUAUAGAAAAUGGAUGGACAAGUAAGUCCCACUCAGCACCCAUAGCCCAGACAUGGGGACCUCAACACACCUGGGCCCCAGACAUCACCUUUCAUUCCGAGGCAUAUGCCAUUCAAGCUAAGGGUGCUACACUUGACCACUGCGGCAGUAUAGAUGAGUCUGAAGAAUGGUAUGGGAUGGAUACUUACGAAUGCACUCGAGCAGGGGUCUCCAUCCACAGGGCCACAGAGCCAGAGCUGGAUCUACCAUGAAAGACUUCAGAGUCCAGGAAGAGAGACUGAUUGGGCAACAUGUUAUUCAGUUACAAAAAGACUUGGACUAUGACUCAAAAAUGAUCAAAUAAUAGUGCAUGCAUCCAAUGCAAUAAGAAGCACUUCUGGAGGGUGAGAGAAGCAUCCAGUUAAGGUGACAUUGAAGCUGGGUCCUGAAAGAUGAGGAAGAAUUGUAUGAGAGUGGGCAGAGAAGGGGGAGGUGGAGGGAUGGGGAAUGGGCUGAGAUGGAGUGAGCUGCUCAAGCAGGGAAACCAGCACUGUAAAGACCUGGUCAAUAAAGAUGGCACAUUUUAUUCAGGGAAUGGUGAAUUAAUUGUGGCAGGAAUGCUUUGGAGAGAGAGUAAUUUGCUUGUAUGGAAUUUUGCCCAAGAGACCUCAUUACAGUUUCUAAUCUUUUGAUGUUAUCGUCUAUCACUGUCCUUGUCAGAUAGUUUGGAAUAGGUAUAAUGAUCACAAUAACAUCAAGCAUAAUAUUUCAUUAAUUCUCACAAAAUCACAGGUAGGUGCCACAGUUAUCCCCAUUUUGUGAAUGAAGUGAUGAAGACUUAGGAAUGAUGAGUGAUUGCCCAAGCUCACCUGGAUAUUAAGAGGUCUUGCUCUGUUGUCCAGGCUGGAAUGUGGUAGUGCUAU
rnacentral:lncRNA from 1 species